CCUACGGGUGGCAGCAGUGAGGAAUAUUGGUCAAUGGGCUUACGCCUGAACCAGCCAAGUCGCGUGAGUGAAGACUGCCCUAUGGGUUGUAAACCUCUUUUGUCAGGGAGCAACGCCGGCUACGUGUAGCCGUACUGAGAGUACCUGAAGGAAAAGCAUCGGCUAACUCCGUGCCAGCCGCCGCGGUAAUACGGAGGAUGCGAGCGUUAUCCGGAUGUAUUGGGUUUAAAGGGUGCGUAGGCGGAAUGCCAAGUCAGCGGUAAAAUCGCGGGGCUCAACCUCGCUCCGCCGUUGAUACUGGCGUUCUUGAGUGGGCGAGAGGUAUGCGGAAGGCGUGGUGUAGCGGUGAAAUGCAUAGAUAUCACGCAGAACUCCGAUGGCGAAGGCAGCAUACCGGCGCCCAACUGACGCUGAAGCACGAAAGCGUGGGUAUCGAACAGGAUUAGAUACCCUUGUAGUC
rnacentral:rRNA from 1 species